AGAGUUUGAUCCUGGCUCAGGAUGAACGCUGGCGGCGUGCUUAACACAUGCAAGUCGAGCGAAGCGGCUGAAUUGAUUCUUCGGAUGAUUUUCAGUUGACUGAGCGGCGGACGGGUGAGUAACGCGUGGGUGACCUGCCCCAUACCGGGGGAUAACAGCUGGAAACGGCUGCUAAUACCGCAUAAGCGCACAGAGCUGCAUGGCUCGGUGUGAAAAACUCCGGUGGUAUGGGAUGGGCCCGCGUCUGAUUAGGCAGUUGGCGGGGUAACGGCCCACCAAACCGACGAUCAGUAGCCGGCCUGAGAGGGCGACCGGCCACAUUGGGACUGAGACACGGCCCAAACUCCUACGGGAGGCAGCAGUGGGGAAUAUUGCACAAUGGGGGAAACCCUGAUGCAGCGACGCCGCGUGAGUGAAGAAGUAUUUCGGUAUGUAAAGCUCUAUCAGCAGGGAAGAAAAUGACGGUACCUGACUAAGAAGCCCCGGCUAACUACGUGCCAGCAGCCGCGGUAAUACGUAGGGGGCAAGCGUUAUCCGGAUUUACUGGGUGUAAAGGGAGCGUAGACGGCAAGGCAAGUCUGAUGUGAAAACCCAGGGCUUAACCCUGGGACUGCAUUGGAAACUGUCUGGCUCGAGUGCCGGAGAGGUAAGCGGAAUUCCUAGUGUAGCGGUGAAAUGCGUAGAUAUUAGGAAGAACACCAGUGGCGAAGGCGGCUUACUGGACGGUAACUGACGUUGAGGCUCGAAAGCGUGGGGAGCAAACAGGAUUAGAUACCCUGGUAGUCCACGCC
rnacentral:rRNA from 1 species